rnacentral:misc_RNA from 1 species
GAUGAAGAACGUAGCGAAAUGCGAUAAGUAAUGUGAAUUGCAGAAUUCAGUGAAUCAUCGAAUCUUUGAACGCACAUUGCGCCCGCCAGUAUUCUGGCGGGCAUGCCUGUUCGAGCGUCAUUUCAACCCUCAAGCCCCCGGGCUUGGUGUUGGGGAUCGGCGUGCCCUCGCGGCGCGCCGUCCCCUAAAUCUAGUGGCGGUCUCGCUGUAGCUUCCUCUGCGUAGUAGCAACACUCGCACUGGAUCGCAGCGCGGCCACGCCGUUAAACCCCCCACUUCUGAAAGUUUGACCUCGGAUCAGGUAGGAAUACCCGCUGAACUUAAGCAUAUCAAUAGCGGAGGA